rnacentral:rRNA from 1 species
AUGCUCCUCCGCCUCCUCUCGUCCGCCUCUCGCGCCAUCGCAGCAAAACCUCACCCACCCCAAACCCUAGCCGCUGCUGCAGUUGGCGCCACCUCAACCACCCGGAAGCUCGCAGCCAUGGCGGGUAACCGGGAGGCGUUCCGCGUGGCGGUGGGGAACACGCUCGAGCGGCGCCUCUUCUACGUGCCGUCCUUCAAGAUCUACGGAGGCGUCGCGGGGCUCUAUGACUACGGGCCGCCAGGGUGCGCCGUCAAGGCAAACGUCCUCGCCUUCUGGCGCCAGCAUUUUGUGUUGGAGGAAGGGAUGCUUGAGGUAGACUGUCCAUGUGUGACACCAGAAGUUGUCUUGAAGGCCUCUGGCCAUGUCGAAAAGUUUACGGACUUGAUGGUUAAAGAUGAAAAGACAGGCAGCUGUUAUCGUGCUGAUCACUUACUCAAGGAUUUCUGUAAGGAGAAGCUCGAGAAUGACAAUACAUUGUCACCAGAGAAGGUAGAAGAAUUAAACCAUAUUCUUGCUGUCUUGGAUGAUCUGUCAGCAGAACAAUUAGGCGCUAAGAUUAAGGAGUAUGGGAUUGUUGCUCCUGACACAAAGAAUCUAUUGUCAGAUCCAUACCCCUUUAAUCUCAUGUUUCAGACUUCCAUUGGACCGUCAGGUUUGAGUGCAGGGUAUAUGAGGCCAGAGACAGCACAGGGUAUCUUUGUGAACUUCAAAGACUUGUAUUACUACAAUGGCAACAAACUACCCUUCGCUGCAGCCCAAAUCGGCCAGGCUUUCCGCAAUGAGAUAUCUCCCCGUCAAGGCCUUCUAAGAGUCCGUGAAUUUACGUUGGCGGAGAUUGAGCACUUUGUGGACCCAGAGGACAAGUCUCAUCCAAAGUUUAGUGAUGUUUCUGAUCUAGAGUUCCUGAUGUUUCCGAGAGAAGAUCAACUGACAGGAAGAUCUGCCACUAGACUUAGGCUCGGUGAAGCUGUUUCUGAGGGAACUGUGAACAAUGAGACCCUUGGCUUCUUUAUUGGAAGGGUCUAUCUCUUCUUGACGCAGCUUGGGAUUGACAAAGACCGUCUACGGUUCCGGCAGCAUCUGCCAAAUGAAAUGGCUCACUAUGCUGCUGAUUGUUGGGAUGCAGAGAUCGAAUGCUCUUAUGGGUGGAUCGAGUGUGUUGGAAUUGCUGAUAGGUCAGCGUAUGACUUGCGUGCCCACUCGGAUAAAAGUGGUGUUCCACUCGAAGCUCAUGAAAAAUUCGCAGAACCCAGAGAAGUGGAGAAGUUAGUUAUAACCCCAUCAAAGAAGGAGCUUGGUCUUGCGUUCAAAGGGAGCCAGAAGAUGGUUCUCGAAGCAUUGGAAGCCAUGGGUGAAACUGAAGCUCUGGGUAUGAAAGCAGCUUUAGAGUCUAAAGGGGAUGUUGAGUUUAAGGUCUGUACCCUUGGGAAGGAUGUUACCAUAAAGAGAAAUAUGGUUUCAAUUAACAUGGAGAAGAAAAAGGAACAUCAAAGGAAGUUCACUCCUUCUGUCAUAGAGCCAUCAUUUGGCAUAGGGAGAAUUAUUUAUUGCUUGUUCGAACAUUGCUUCUAUCAAAGGACUGGCAAGACAGAUGAUGAGCAGUUGAAUGUGUUUCGUUUUCCCCCUCUUGUUGCUCCAAUUAAGUGUACUGUGUUUCCACUGGUCAAGGUCGAGAAAUUUGAUGUUGUUGCCAAGAAAAUUUCAAAAGCUUUGACAACAGCAGGGAUUUCUCACAUUAUCGAUAUCACAGGCACUUCGAUUGGUAAGCGGUAUGCACGGACAGACGAAAUCGGCGUCCCCCUGGCGAUCACAGUCGACUCAACUACAAGUGUGACUGUCCGUGACCGGGACAGCAAGGAUCAGAUCCGUGUUGAGGUCGACGAGGUGGCUUUGGUUGUGAAGGAAGUGACCGAUGGGCAGAGCACCUGGGCAGACAUCAUGUGGAGAUACCCAGCACAUACCGCCUUGGCCACCGAUGAGGAAGAAGCUUCAGAAACCUGA